rnacentral:misc_RNA from 1 species
UACGGAGGAUCCAAGCGUUAUCCGGAAUCAUUGGGUUUAAAGGGUCCGUAGGCGGGUUAAUAAGUCAGUGGUGAAAGUCUGCAGCUCAACUGUAGAACUGCCAUUGAUACUGUUGUUCUUGAGUGCUUAUGAAGUGGUUAGAAUAUGUAGUGCAGCGGUGAAAUGCAUAGAUAUUACAUAGAAUACCGAUUGCGAAGGCAGAUCACUAAUAAUUUACUGACACUGAUGGACGAAAGCGUAGGUCACGAACCGG